rnacentral:rRNA from 1 species
AUUGAACGCUGGCGGCAGGCCUAACACAUGCAAGUCGAACGGUAACAGGAAACAGCUUGCUGUUUCGCUGACGAGUGGCGGACGGGUGAGUAAUGUCUGGGAAACUGCCUGAUGGAGGGGGAUAACUACUGGAAACGGUAGCUAAUACCGCAUAACGUCGCAAGACCAAAGAGGGGGACCCUCGGGCCUCUUGCCAUCGGAUGCGCCCAGAUGGGAUUAGCUUGUUGGUGGGGUAACGGCUCACCAAGGCGACGAUCCCUAGCUGGUCUGAGAGGAUGACCCGCCACACUGGAACUGAGACACGGUCCAGACUCCUACGGGAGGCAGCAGUGGGGAAUAUUGCACAAUGGGCGCAAGCCUGAUGCAGCCAUGCCGCGUGUGUGAAGAAGGCCUUCGGGUUGUAAAGUACUUUCAGCGGGGAGGAAGGGAGUAAAGUUAAUACCUUUGCUCAUUGACGUUACCCGAAGAAGAAGCACCGGCUAACUCCGUG